CCUACGGGUGGCAGCAGUGGGGAAUAUUGCACAAUGGGGGAAACCCUGAUGCAGCGACGCCGCGUGAGUGAAGAAGCGUUUCGGCGCGUAAAGCUCUGUUAGCGGGGAAGAAACACGGUUCGCUAGAGCCGCGGACGGUACCCGCCCAAGAAGCCCCGGCUAACUACGUGCCAGCAGCCGCGGUAAUACGUAGGGGGCAAGCGUUAGCCGGAUUCACGGGGGGUAAAGGGGGAGUAGACGGCGAGAAACGUCUGGCGGGAAAGGACGGGGACCAGCCCCGGGACGGUUCUGGAAACUGCCUGGGUGGAGGAUAGGAGAGGUGAGGGGAAUUCGUGGUGUAGCGGGGAAAUGGGUAGAUAUUAGGAGGAACACAAGUGGCGAAGGCGGCUUACUGGACUGUACUGACGUUGAGGCUCGAAAGCGUGGGGAGCAAACAGGAUUAGAUACCCCUGUAGUC
rnacentral:rRNA from 1 species